AAAUGUAAGAACAUUACAUUUAUUCCAAACAUUGUGCUCAGAAAAAAUAGUAUGUUUUAUUGUGGUAUACUAUCUCCAUUUUGAUUGCUAAAAUCGUUAAUUUAUUUUAAAUAAUUGCUGGAAAGCUGGGAUCAUUUUUUUUCAAUGUGGCAAUGUUAUAAAAUUCAAGCAUUCUGAAAAAUGACUCAUGCUAGUUUGAAGGAAAUUUUGCAAGCUGAAUUCCCAUUUCAUUCUACAAUAUUUUUACAGGUGGAACUGGUAUUUCUGUUACAAAGUGAUGCUUUCUUAAAGUGUGACAUCACGUGAUAAAACCUAGCAAUGACAAUAAGGACUAUGUGGGUCAUUGAUGAAGGACCUCAUGUGAACAUGACUUCUGACUUCCUUCAGCUUCUCUUUUGACUUUGCUGGCAGGGAAUGUUGGAAAUUGUGAUAUGCCCAUGGCUCACACCUUCAUUUAAAUGUCCAGGAAUCAGAGUCUGGUAAUUUCCAGAAUGAGAGACGUACUUACCAAUCUUCUGGUUUUUCUGCAUUUGGAUCUGGAAUGUAUUCAGGUUCAUUAUCAAGCCAUCCUUCGGGUUUAACAGCAUCGGAAUCUUCUAUUUUUGGAGACUCGUCUUCAUUCCUUAAAAUUACAAACCAAUUUUAUCACAAAACACAUAAAGGAGUAUUACUAUUAUGAGUACAUUUGUUCCUUCAGAUGUAUUUUUAGAUGUUUUUCUAUAUUUGUAUAAUAAUAUUUUAUUUAUUCCAAAUCCUUUUAUUGUAGAAGUGAAUCAAAUAUACCAAUAUUAAACUGCAAAUCUUUGCAU